GCAGGGUGGGGCAGCCACCCUGAGCAGAACCCCCUCCCAGCAGCCCAGCAGGCCUCCUGUCCACCCCUGCCACCCCCUCCCAGCCUCCAUGGGGAAGAGGCCUGGGGCAGAGACCAGAAUGGAAACUCUGGGUGGAGACAACCAGACUCAGAACCUGAUCUGCCACCCGACUGUCCCCCAGGCCUCCCAGACUCUCUCCAUCCCCACACCACGUUUGGGGUGUCCCCCUUGGCUGCCUCGCUCUCCACGUGCUCUUGGGGCCCAACGACUCGUCCUUCCCCUGAUGUCUUCUCUGGGGCUGGAUGUGUCUUCACAAGCCGCCAACCUGCAAGUCCAAACUCGACUGUGACUUCGCUGUGGGCCCAAGUGUCAGCAGUCGAUCUGUUAUCAGUUGAUGGCGGGCUCGUUUCUCAGAAGCCAGGCGCGCGCGCGCACGUGCCGGAGCCCCAUUCUCUGGUGUGGAUCAUCUCUGCAUCCGUUCUGGAAUAAUACUUUCAGGAGCACUGUUUCCAUUCGCAGUGAGUCGUGACCGUGCCUGUGUCUCAGUCCUCGUGCUUUUUCCUGAGCGAUGCCUCGCAUUCCGAAGACGCACAGUUUGAAAUGGCUCCUCAGUCUUCCUUUGUGUUUCAAGACCUUGACACUUGAGAAGCUUGGAGGCGGAUGUACCCUCAUCGCCAGCUACAGGUGAGGCACUGUUGGCUGAAGAGCCACAGAAGCGACAGCGCCUGCCUCCUCCAGCUGCCUGGCCCCUCGCGUGUCCCAUGGCUGCCAUGUGAGGACAGAGCAAGAAGGAUCCAUCUAUGAAACAGGAAUCAGGUUCACACCAGACGCCCGACAUGCUGGCGCCGUGAUCGUGGACGUCCCAGCCUCCAGAACCACGAGAAAUAAAUUCCUGAUGUUUGUAAGCCGCCGGUGGGUGGGAUUUUUGUUAUAGCAGCCCCGACAGAGUAAGACCACAUCAGUAUGGACCCAUGGACUCAUGGGGCUGUCCAAGGAGCCCCAGUGCUGUGAACGCUUCCUCCCUUCCCGACCCAGGAAGCUGUUCCAGGCGAUGAGGGGCUGUGGGGCAAGCUGAGGGCAAGGUGCCGGUUAACAGCACCCCCCCCCCGGGGGGGAUAUGUGUGAUAUUCCUUGCACAUCCUCCACUACCCCAAAACAGGAAAGGACAAAAUAACAAACGGUUCAACUGGUAAGAGUCUCCACCAGUUUAUAAGAAACAGGCAAUCCCAUCCUGCCUAAAGUCCAGGAACUCCUUACAGUCUUUUUUUUUUUGUUUUUUUAAUGUU